CAUUAAAUGUUAGUGGCAUGACA
rnacentral:siRNA from 1 species